GAAAGGGACUUCGGUCCUGAGUAAAGUGGCGCACGGGUGAGUAACGCGUGGAUAAUCUACCCGAUGGACCGGGAUAACAUUUCGAAAGGGGUGCUAAUACCGGAUAAGACCACGGAGUCUCUGGGCUCUGCGGUAAAAGGUGGGGACCUUCGGGCCUACCGUCAUAGGAUGAGUCCGCGUACCAUUAGCUAGUUGGUGGGGUAAGAGCCUACCAAGGCGACGAUGGUUAGCUGGUCUGAGAGGAUGAUCAGCCACACUGGAACUGAGACACGGUCCAGACUCCUACGGGAGGCAGCAGUGGGGAAUUUUGCGCAAUGGGGGAAACCCUGACGCAGCAACGCCGCGUGAGUGAUGAAGGCCUUCGGGUCGUAAAGCUCUGUCAGGGGGGAAGAAAUGCAUGGGAGCUAAUAUCUUCUAUGCUUGACGGUACCCUCAAAGGAAGCACCGGCUAACUCGUGCCACG
rnacentral:rRNA from 1 species